rnacentral:lncRNA from 1 species
AUGAAUUAUAAAUAUGAAAUCUUUUCUCGGGGCAAUUCCCACCAACCAAGGUGGGGAGAAGAGCAAGGACUGUGUGCGAGACAUCCUUCUUCCGAAACAUGCUUUGUUAAGGUGAGCGUCGUUGAGAAGCAGAUGAAAUGUCCCACCUGCUGCUGGUUUGAUGCAUUCUUUCUGAUGAGAAGGAUGAAGACUGUGUCUGACAGAGCCAAACUUAAAAAAAAAAACAAAAAAAACCCUUUGAGGCAAUACACUCCAGGUGCUGCUUUUCCAUUCACCUGCCCAUUUAAUUGCCCCGGUGGGAGGCGAGGCCGGCAGCCAGGUGAUACGGCCCAUGAUACGUCAGCAGGAAGGCCUGGAGGAGUAUCAGCCUUUCUGAAUGGGGGGGAAUUGGGGCUUCCAGCAUGCUCAUGGGCUGGCGAGUAAACAAAACCCAGGUGAUGCACGAGCCACAGGUUCCCAAUUAAGCAGAGUGGUGAUUGCUCAGAGGGGAUUAAAUAGGAGACCCCCAUGGUGCUUCCUUUUGUCCAUGAAGUCUCCUCACCAUCAAAGGCUCCCUGAAAACUGCAGCCAACACGUGGGUCAUCGUAACCCACUGGUCGCGCUGGCUGGCUGCUGCGGGCGGGGAUGCUGACCACCCCGGCUGAGGACUGCCUCCGAGAAAUGGGCGUUGGGAGCCGUGUUCUGCAAAAUCUGUAAUUCCUUCGGUUUGGUUUUAUCUCGGACUCUUCCCUGGGGAGGCUGAUCCUGGCCGGGGCUGAGCUCUGGCAUGCCUGGAUCGUUAGGUGGUGGCUGGGCGUGAGUAGCUGGGGGCUCCUGGGAAUGCGGAAAAGCCCCUUCCCACGGGAGCAUGCCGGGAUGCCGUUGCUCCAGAUGGGUGCAGAGGACACUGGUGCCCAGUGGGGAAGCAACUUCCUUUGCUAGAAAGGAGUAUUAAACAGUACAACGAAACCCAAAGGCAUGAAUAAAAUAACAUUUCUCCAAUAUCUGUUUCUAAUG